GUAUUAAGACAGUUUUGACACAAGUGAUGUUGAAAUUAAGAUGAAAAUUUACUAGAGUUGAAUGAUUUUAACUACGUUUUGAUUUAUCAUCCUCAAUUAAAAAUUUGAGUCCAUGAAAUCUAAUCUCUUAGGCGUCAAUUCUGAACAUUGAUAAUUUUUUUUACACAUUUUUUAAGCGUAUACAUUUAUGCUGCCCUUACCACAUGUUUAAUAUAUGGCUGGUAUAUACAGGACCGAGAGCAUGAGAGUUAGCCCCCAGAUCAACCACCUCCGUGACUAGAAUAACUUGACAAUUCAAUUUUUGACAUUUGUUGUAUAUGUUUCGCUAUGUAUAAGAGAAAUAGUAAAUUCAACAAAAAUUUCACGAUUAGAUGUUCAUUUAGUGCGCUUUAUCGUUUUCGGCUGUUAUAUUUAUAUAACCGCACUAGUUAAAGGCUUCGUAAUUUCAAGAAACUCCAUAUUCGACCUAUUAUUUUGAACAUAGCAACAAUUCAACUUAUUAAAUUUUCUAUAACAAUAAAGCAGCAGUUUUCAGUAUGAAAAAUAAUUUUUUCAGCUAUACCUCGACAGGAAGAAUAACUAAGUGCUUCAACGUCUUAAAAAGGCAAAAGUACAGGGUAUGAUUAAGUAAUAGCAUUAAUUAAUUGAUUUAUAUUUAGUCGAACUCAUUAGGAAGUCAGAAAAAUAUUUUGGGUGACUGAACUGUGCAAAAUGAAUGCGAUUUAAUACCGGAACAAAAACACUCUUUAUUCAACUUUUUAAACAUUUUAUAAAAUCUGAUAAGUGUUUUGAGAAUCGUUUUAUAAUUGUGGAUGAGUCCACCACCAUGAUCAAAAUAAAACAAGAGGUUAGAAGUAGUGUGAAUCUUGUAUUCGGCUGUGAAGAGAUUUAGGGUUCAGAAAUUGGGCAAGAAGAUAUUAGCAUCUGUUUUUGUGAUGCAAAAGAAAUUUUUGGAUUACCUCCACGCUGGAGAAAAUGAUAAACACAGAGUAUUAUUUUAAUAUUUUGUAUCAACUAAAUAUAAAAGUUUGUGAAAAAGGGCCUACUUUACAAAAGAAAAAAAAGAGAAUAUCCAAUCGACUUAAAACAUCCAUCCUAUUCACUAUACUAUGGCUUCAUCUGAUUCAUGGCUGUUCUAACAUCUAAAAAAAUGUGAGUGAUAAAUGAUUUCCAUCGUAGUAAAAGGAAAUAGCAGCUGUAGAAGCCUAUGUCUACCAGAGUAUUACUUCAGGGAUGGAAUCCAUGAGUUGAAACAUGACUAGAUUAAAUACUAACAGUACAAAAUUCAGUGUUAGUAAAUUGAGUAAUAAAAUUUCUUUCAAAUAAUAAAAUAAUCUUUUUAUUAUCAAACAUAACUUAAUGAACAACAAGGUGGCUUAACCUCUAGCAAAUUUGCCUAGAUAUUGAAUAUAUUUUUUAACUUCCACUGCAAUUCACUGAGGGAGAAACUACAAAUUGUAUUGUAUAGUAAUAGAAAUAAUAGUGAGCCAAUAGGAUUAGCAGGUUUAUGGUCCCUCAAAUAGGGUUUUUUUGCUGUCAAGUUCAAUAACCUUCAUCCAUCCUGUUCAUCAUUAGGAGAUUCUGUAACAUAUAGUUGAAGUUAAAACAAAUGUAUAAACCAAGUAAAUAAUGUAAUUUUAUUAAUGUAAACCAUUUUUAAUCACACAACGGGUAUAUUCAAAAUGUUUGAAGAAAAAUGUAAAAAAAUCUUAAAAACCACGUCCUUUAUCUACCUACUCUACUCUAUACUGUGCAAUCCAAAAAAUGCACAAUCAUUUGCCAAUUAAAAUCAAAUUUAUAAAAUCUUUUCCAGCAUUUCGCAAGAAUUUGAAAGCAUAUUUACUGGAAAGUGUUUUAUACGCUAUAAACAACUUAUACUUUAAUACUAUAAUAUUUAAUUCGAAGCAUAUUACAUACUGGUUUAAUGUGGGUAUUGAUUUUUUUAUACAAAUUAUUACAUAUUUUAGGAUUGCUAUAUAGUUUUAUUAUUUGGUAAAAAAUUUUAAUGGGACUUCAGGAAGGGUUUACGAAUCAUUGCUGUUUUUUCUAUGGGGCAGUAGAUCAACACUAUUUUUAGUAGUUUCAACCGGGAUCUCAAAAUGUUAAGUUUAUACCCCUUGUAGAUCCCAAAAAUGACCUUCUGCCCUCCCUUCACAUUAAACUUGGAUUGAUGAAAAACUUUGUAAAGGCUAUGGAUAAAGAGGGCGAUGGAUUCAAAUACCUUAGAGAAGUCUUUCCCCAGUUAAAUGAUGCCAAAUUAAAGGAAGGUAUUUAUCGGGCUACAUAUAGGAAAAUUGCUGGACGAUGACAAUUUUGCAAAAAAGCUCAUCAGACGGUAGCUUAGAACAUGGAAGGCAUUUGUAAGUGUAGUGAGGGGAUUUUUGGGCAACAAUAUGGAUCCAAACUACCAACAUUUUGUUGAUGAACUUCUAGACUUCUACAUUCCAUCCUCCUGCUUCAUUUCCAUCUGACAUUUUUUUCCGAAAAUUUGGGAGCUGUCAAUGAUGAGCAGAGUGAAAGGUUCCACCAAGAUUUAGAACAAUGGAAGUUCAGUUACAAUUAUUUUUCUCAUAUUUUCGUAUUUGUAUAGGCCCAUUUUAUCACAAUAUGCUAGUCAUUCUUGUGUUACUACAAACAAUUUUCUUUGUCGACCAGUGUUAGUACAUAAUCACGGUAAAAAUUAAAAACAUAGUAAACUAAAUUAAAAUGAAAUAUUAUGAUAAGUUAAAUUUGAAUCUUAGUUAUAAUAAAACAAAAUAACUAUCGUAUUUACUUUGUAUCAUAUGUUCAGUCUUUAUUUUAUACCUAUAAUGUCAUAUAUCAUAUUGCGACCUCACUAAAAUGUUUGAACUACCUUUUUUUAAUUUUCAUUAAUGUUUUUUUAUAAAUAUUGAUCAAAGAUUAAAGAACAAAAUUAUAAUAAAAGUAUAUAAACUAUCCAAAA